UUAAACCCGCAUAAAUUGGUGUAUGCCGUAUCGCAUUAGAUAAUUAAAACCCAUAAAAUCUCUCUUUUUUAUUCCAUCAAAACACGAUCCAUCAAGCAAAUCCAACAUUCGUUUAUUCAUCACCGAGUCACCACCGAUGCCAUUACCCCCAUUGCUCGAUGCCAUCACCGUCGCCAACAAGUGCUUCGUCGUGCCGCGUGAGACUUCCCAUCUGUUUCACCACUGACGCGCCUGCACUUUGCCGCCGAAUCAUCAAUCAACCGGUUAGUAUUUGGGUUUGAUUUUUCGAAUUGAACCACAAUCAGUUUAUUUUUCAUUACUUUUAUGUUGAAGCAUGUCUUUUUCUUUCUGGGUUUGAAUUUUUUUUUUUUUUUGGCUGCUGUUGUUGUGGGUAGCUAUUAAUUUCGUCAGUACUUUUUAGUUGGCUUCAUGAGUUGUUUUUUUAUUUUUACUUACAAUUAAAUCUUGUUUAAAUCUGAGCAAAUAGACUAAUUUUGCUUUUGAGAAAAUUAAUUAAAUAGUUAAACAAGUAAUUAAAAAAUUAAUUAGUUGAUGCGAUUAUACGGAGAAGAGUGAAGGGAGUAGAGAUGGAGAACAGGGAAUUGGAGGGGAUUUGUAUGUAUAGUUGGAUGGUAGGAUUUGGAACGGUGUCGUCUACCUGUACAAAUCUAAGAUAUUCCAUGAUGUUUAGGAAUCAAAAUUUAAUCUAAACUUGCAUAUGAGUGUGGAAAUUUUACUGCAAAGUACUGAUUAACGUUCUCAUGUUUUGAAUUGAUAGAUCACUUAGACUUUUAGUUUUCUAGCAUUUUGGACUAUGGUAUUCUCAUAUGCUUGUCUCGUUGACAUUAUUCCCAGGUUUUUUUGGUUUUGGACUUGCAUAGAGGCUUAUUAUAUGCUUUUUGGUUUUGAAUUUGCACAAAGGCUUUCUCAUAGCUUAUUGGUUUUGGAUUUGCACAAAAGCUUUUCUCAUAGCUUUUUUUUUUUUUUUUGAUAAGAGAGUGAAUCUUUCAUUCAAAAUAGGAAAGUACAUCAGGAGGAAAGUUGUCCUUCCAUGUGACAGAUUCGGAGCUUCUCAAAGCUCUUUCAGCAAGAGAUUGAGCACAACUGUUACAACAUCUUGAUACAUGUUGAAUUGUUAUCGGUUGGAACUUUUCCAUGUAGCUUUGAAUGUCUGAAAUAGCCCACAAAAUCUCCUUCCUGCUACUGGUUAUAUUGUUGGCUAAGUUGACCACUUCCAUACAAUCUGUUUCAAUAAUCACUGCCGAUAAUCCUGCUUCUAUUGCCAUUUCCAUCCCCCGUUUUACAGCCUCAGCUUCUGCUGCUGAAACAUUCCCUUGGGGCUUUGUGUUUUUUACUGCUACUGUCGCUACAACUUGGCCUUGUGAAUUUCUAAUAACAACCCUGAUUCCUGUAAGCUGUGCCCCUGCCUGAACAGCUGCAUCCACAUUGACCUUGUAAUACCCGAUAGGUGGAGGACACCAUUGUUUUUGCUUGCUAACACCAUCUCUUCUGUUUAUCUGCUCCGUUUCAUGCACUCUUUGAUAAGCCUCUAUAGUAGCUUUUGCCUUUGCAAUUAAUGUUACCGGCUUAAUUUUCUGCCUUCGAAUAUAAACUUGUUCCUAGCAUGCCAUAUUUCCUUCCAGACCGUUACCACAAACUCCACCUCUCUCUUGGGCAUCUAUCUCAACAGGCUCAGUAUAAGGCUUAGAAUAUCUUCUCUCACCAUUCCCUGCAAUUCAGAAUCUCCAUAAUUGUAUUUCCAGACCUUCCUAGCCACCUUACACUCCAUAAGUGCAUGAAAGACAUCCUCUACUCCUGUUUUACGGAUUUGGCAUGUUGGCUCCUGUUGAACUUGUUGGUACUUCAGCAUACUUGAGCUUGAGAGCUAAUUGGUAACCACUUCGUACUGUGUAUAUUCCUUUUUUGUCAUAGUGCCAUAACCAUUCAUCAUUCUUAGGCCAUCUUGGUAGGGGAAUUCUCUUAAUCAUCUCUGAAUCCUCUUUUGCUAAGUGCUUCUCAAUCAAACUAUUCUUCCAUUGGUGAUCUGCGCCUAUUAAGUCUACAACUUUGGUAUUUGCUGGUACAGAUGGAGCAAAAAUUGGCCUAAAAGUAGUCGGCCUUGGUAUCCGGUUGCUGGCCAUAACACAAAUUUUAUCUCCUCUUCCAACUCUCCAUCUUAUCCCCUGCUGCAGAAUUUCUCUACCUCACAAAAUGCUUCUCCAAAUAAAGGAUGGAUUAGAACCAACUUUGGCUUCCAUAAAAUCAGUUUGUCUGUAAUAUCUAGCUUUCAGCACUUUGGCCACUAGUGAAUCAGGGUAUUGUAAUAAUCUCCAGCCUUGCUUUGCAACGAAUGCCUGGUUGAAGCUUGAGAGAUCUUUAAAACCUAUCCCCUCUCUGAUUUUAGCCUUACUAAUCUUCUCCCAUUUUGCCCAGUGAAUACCUUUCUUGUCAUUUGUUGAGCCCCACCAGAAUCUCGCAAUUGCUCUCUGAAUGUCAUUGCAAAUAGCCAAAGGUAUUUUGAAGACACUCAUGGCAUAUGCAGGGACUGCCUGAGCUACAGCCUUGAUCAAAACCUCUUUUCCACCACUGGAGAAGAAUUUAUGCUGCCAAUUCGAUAAUUUGCUCAACAGUUUGAGCUUAAUAUCAUUGAAAAAGCUGGUCCUCUUUCUUCCCACCAUUGAAGGCAGUCCCAAGUACUUCUCAUGUCUUGAGACCACAUUCAGCUGAAAAAUGUCCUUUAUUGCUGCUAUUUGUCCCUGUGGGAUUUUACCGCUGAAAAACAUUAAUGACUUGUCAUAAUUGAAGAGCUGGCUAGAGGCCGAAGUAUAGUACUCGAAAAUUGCUUUCUCAUAGCUUUUUGGUUUUGGAUUUGCACAAAGGCUUUUCUCAUAGCUCUUUGGCUUUGGACUUGUACAGAGGCUUAUAUGCUUUUCUCAUUGACAUUUAGAUCCAAUUUCUAAUUCUUUUUGGAUUUACAGUGUUCUGAAAAUCAUACCUUUUCCCACAAUAUUGAUGCUGCAAAUCAAUCUGAAAGUGCAUGCUUAAGUAAUUAACAAUAGCUUUUUUUUUUAAUAUCAUGAAAUUAUUUUAAUAUCAAUACUCAGUGUGAAAAUGCAUGCUUGAGUAAUUGAAAAAAAUAUGUUUUUCUUUUUAUUUGUUGUUUUAGAUAUGGACAUGAGAAUAGAAAUUUUUUUCGUCAAAUGGCAAACGAAAUUAAGGUUCAUGUUCAUUGUGAUGUUUUUUCUCCAUGUUUACUUUAUCUGCAUUAAGUGAUGCAGAUAGUUGGCAAUAUGGUUCAAGCUGUAGCAACUGUGUAAUGAUCAUCCGUGUUAUUGAUCCAAAUAUAUUCAUAAUGAUGUAGUAAGGGAUUUACUUUUGUUUAUGACAUUGCAAACUUGAUCAAACUUGUUAUUGAUCCAAAUAUAUUCAUAAUGAUCCAAAUAUAUUCAUAAAGGUCCAGCAUCAUCAGCUCUUUCUUUUCAACCCACUCAUGUUGCCAACCCCCUACCGGAUCGGCGGAAACCGAAACCAACCUACACCGGCUACUUUAACUCAACUUUUUGGUCAAAUCACAGCUAUUUGAGACAAACCACCACCAGCAUCACACUCACCACCAUCAAAUCUUCCAGAUCCACUUAUCCUAGGCCAAUUUUUCAACCACCGUCGCCGGCAGCACCAACUUUUGCCUAUUUAUAAUUUUGCCCCUUUACUUUUCUAUGCUUAUACUAUUGCCUAUAAUUUUCUGUUCUUUAAAAAAAACCCAAAAACCAAACAAACUUAUAAAAAAAAUAAAUUAGAAUUUACUAGGAAUUAUAAUAUUUGGGUCAAUUUAGAAUUUAGUAUUUUAUUAGGAUUUAUCUUAUUUUAUUAAGCUUACUUGAGUCAUAUUUAUAAUUCUAAUCUAAUUCGAAUUUCAGAUUAUUUCUCUUAUUUGAGAAAGAUAAGGAUUAGGUUAGCUACUAUUAUAUAUAUAGGCUUGUUAUUCUAAAUUUUUGAUAACAGACACAAGUUUCUCAUUAAUAAUAUUCAGCUUUUUCUCAAUUGAAACGUCUUCUCUUUGGUGAGAGUCUAUUUCUUAAGUUUUCAAGACGUAUGCUAGAACGAAAUCUUGUAUCGCUUCCGCCUUGCGUUAAAGCAUCAUCUAAUCAUAGGGUCUUGUUAUAG
rnacentral:lncRNA from 1 species